AUUGAACGCUGGCGGCAGGCCUAACACAUGCAAGUCGAACGAGUGGCGGACGGGUGAGUAAUGUGUGGGACACUGCCUGAUGGAGGGGGAUCACUACUGAAAAGGGUAGCUAAUACCGCAUACCAUCAGAUGUGCCCAGAUGGGUUUUGCUUGGUGGUGGGGUAACGGCGCACCAAGGCGACGAUCCCUAGCUGGUCUGAGAGGAUGACCAGCCACACUGGAACUGAGACACGGUCCAGACUCCUACGGGAGGCAGCAGUGGGGAAUAUUGCACAAUGGGCGCAAGCCUGAUGCAGCCAUGCCGCGUGUAUGAAGAAGGCCUUCGGGUUGUAAAGUACUUUCAGCGGGGAGGCGUUACCCGCAGAAGAAGCACCGGCUAACUCCGUGCCAGCAGCCGCGGUAAUAC
rnacentral:rRNA from 1 species